UUGGAUUUUAAAAUUUUAUGAAGUAGACUCUGAUUUAAAACUCCUCAAUCAAAAUUUUAGUGAGUCUGAAACUUCUUACAAUUGCCUCAUUCUCGUCUGGGCUCUCGCACAAUAAACAUCUUUUGGAAGUAACCAAAAACAAUUGAAUUUUCUGCUAACCUAGCUCCGUAAACAGGCUAAAUAAAUCAUUUAGAAAAUGUGUAAUCCGUGCUUGCGAUCAAUGCCUGGCACCUGUUGUGGACCAACUGGUGGACUAGGACCUUGCGGUUUCUGCGGACCGUAUAAUGGACAGUGGUUCAAAGCCAUAAAUCACUGCUGCGGUCCAUGUGGACCAUAUGGCUGCUGUUCCUGUUAUGGACCCUAUGGUGGACACUGCUAGCCUGCUUAGAAGGUGCGUAGGUUACAGCAAAAACUGAUCCCUGAAUAUGGUACUGACAACUGGACGAAAUUGAGGAUAAUUGGAAUAUAAUUCCGCAAUCUAAAUGGAAUUCGUAAUAGCCAAAAGUCGUGUUGUCCCAUUUAAAUUUUGAUGUGAAUUUGCUAUCUUACAAAUAAAACGGCAAAGAAAUACUAAAA